AGCCGCGCAGGAGAUGGUGCUCCUCCUGGUUUAGACAAACCGCCCCGUCGAUCGCUGAAUAUAUUAUUCCGCAGGACGCGAGGCCGAUGGCGCCUACAGUUUC
rnacentral:ncRNA from 2 species